CCGAAAGUGGACUUGGCGAGGGUCUGAGUGGCAGACCAAGCAAUGCAUAGACAGGCAGCUCAGAGCUUGUCUGUGAGCCAGGAGCCUCGAGAAAAAAGCGUCAGAGGGGAACCCAAAGAGGGUUCUUGAAGAAGGAGAAUGUGGCUUAAGUCCUGGGGGAGGGUUUGGGUCUUCUAGGAAAUACAUUUUUUGUUUGUUUGUUUGUUUGUUUGUUUGUUUUCGACAGAGUCUUAACCCUGUUGCUGGGGCUGGAGUGCAGUGGUGGGCUCAAGGCUCACUGCAACCUCCACCUCCCAAAUUCAAGGGAUUCUCCCACUUCAGACUGGCUGGUCUCGAACUCCUGACGUCAGAUGAUCCACUCACGUCAGCCUCCCGAAGUGCUGCAAUUCCAGAAAAGGUUUCAGAAAGCUGCCUGGGUCUUUUGUCCUUCCACUAUGUAAGGACAGAGCAACAAGUGCCAUCUUGGAAGCAGACAGCAGCCCUCACCAGACAAGGAUCCUGCCAGUGCCUUGAUCUUGGACUUCUCAGCCUCUAGAACUGUGAAAAAUAAAUUUCUGUUGUUUAUAAAUUACCCUGUCUAAGGUAUUUUAUUAUAGCAACCUGAACUGACUAAGACAACCAUUCACCAUGCAGGAAGAGAGCCAAUUAUAAGAAGUCAUCCCUGACCUGAAGGGGUUUGAGUCUAAUUGGGGGAAAUGAUAAACACAGAAGAAACAAUCAGUAAGUAAUGUCAACUGUGAUAGUGUCUGAAGGAAAAACUAGGCUCAGGAUGUAGAUAAAACAAGCCACCCCGCUGAGGUGUAUCCGUUAGAGCUGUGCUGAGUGAGCCCUUCAGAGGACAGAGAUCAGCCCUCUGCACAGUAGUCUAGUCUUCAUGCCUCACUAUCCUAUACUGAAAUCUCCUUAAGUGAGGAGGUGCACAUCUUUAUUCUCACAGCUUUAUUGUAGUGAGUUGUCAAAGAGUGUGGCCUCUGGAGCUAGACUCUCUGGGUUUGAAUCCUGUCUCUGUAACUCACAGAUUCUGUAACCUUGAACAAGUUAUUUAAACUCUUUGUUUUUUUUUUUUUUUUUGGAGACAGAGUCUUGUCAACCAGGCUAGAGUGGCAGUGGCGUGACCUCAGCUCAUGGCAACCUCUGCCUCCCAGGCUCAAGCGAGUCUCGUGCCUUAGCUUACCAAGUAGCUGGGAUUACAGGCGCGCACUACCACACUUGGCUAAUUUUUGUUGUGUAUGUGUGUCUGUGUGUUUUUAAGUAGAGAUGGGGUUUCACCAUGUUGGCCAGGUUGGUCUCGAACUCCGGAUCUCAAGUGAUCAACCUGCUUCAGACUCCCAAAGUGUUGGGAUUACAAGUGUGAGCCACUGCACCCGGCCUAUUUAAACUCUUUAUGGCCAAGUUUCCUUAUCUGGAAAACAAGUACCAUUUCAUGGGGUUCUUAUGAGGAGUAAAUGAAUUAUUAAGUACUUCAUGUCAAGGUUCUAGAAAAAUGGCUGAUACACAUUAAAUGUUCCAUACAUAAUAACUAUUAAUACAGUGGUUUGUGCUUGGUCAAGCUCUGUCUGUUCAAACAGAGUAUAAAAUGAUGAGAACAAAAGUGUUGUUGUUGUUGUUAUUUGAGAUAGGAUCUCACUUUGUCACCCAGGUUGAUCACGGUGUUAUCACGGCUCACUGCAGCCUCAACCUCUCAGGUACAAGCGAUCCUCCCACCUCAGCCUCCCAAAUAGCUGGGACCACAGGUGACUGCCACCACUAAUUUCUGCCACCAGAAAUUAGACUGCUGGCUAAUUUCUGUAUUUUUUUUGUAGAGAUGGUGUUUCACCAUGUUGGCCAGUCUGGUCUUAAACGCCUGACCUCAAGCGAUCCACCCACCUCAGCCUCCCAAAGUGUUAGGAUUACAGGCAUGAGCCACCGCUCCCAGCCAAGAGCAGGUUUUAAUGGCUAAGCCUUUUGAAUAUACUGAUUAAGCAGUCUUUAUUGAGCAUCUAUGUGUCAUUGCGGAUAUAAUGGUGAACAAGCUAGACCAGGGCCCUUGAGGAACCAGCAAAGAUAUGAGAUAUAGUAGAAGAUAGAGUUUCCUUUCAUCAUGAAAGCUGAUCAUUUUAAGUCUCUUUUUAAAAAAAUUAUUACACUUUACUUUUUAGAGCAGUUUUAGGUUUACAUAAAAAUUGAGCAGAUAGUACAAAGAGUUUCCAUAUACUCCCAUCUCCCCUAGUUUUCCUUAUCAUCAAUGUCUUGAAUUAAUGUGGUACAUUU
ensembl:lncRNA